rnacentral:rRNA from 1 species
UGGGAUAUUGCACAAUGGGGCGCGAAGCCGUGAUGCAGCCAUGCCGCGUGUGUGAAGAAGGCCUGGUUGUAAAGCACUUUCAGCGGGAGGAAGGCGGUGAGGUUAAUAACCUUGUCGAUUGACGUUACCGCAGAAGAAGCACCGGCUAACUCCGUGCCAC